UGUGAGUCGUGAGUACUGGAGGUGAGGAA
rnacentral:piRNA from 1 species